rnacentral:sRNA from 1 species
AUAUAGUUAAGAGUAAAAGAGUACGAGUUGUAUUGUCAGAUAGUUCCACCGCGAGUAUUUGCCAUUCGUUUUAUCCGUUUACACCUUGAUUAAAUAAACAGAACCACAAAGCGAGACCGCCGAAAGGCAACUUUAAUCUAAAACGUAAGGGACACAAAAUGUCUAACACAAAUACUGGCACUGUAAAAUGGUUUAACGAAGAGAAAGGCUACGGCUUCAUCGCACAAGAGAACGGUCCAGACGUAUUCGUUCACUUCCGUGCAAUCUCUGGUGAAGGUUUCAAAACUCUAAAAGAAGGCCAAGCGGUUUCUUUUGGUGUUGAGUCUGGUCAAAAAGGCCCUCAAGCAGUUAACGUAAUUCCUCAGUAAUUACUUCUGCUACUCUUGAUAGAUAAAAGACCUCAAUUGAGGUCUUUUUUGGU